UGCAGAAUCAAACAGUCCCUACUUCACCACUGCUAUGAGUUGAGUUUGAUUUUCUCAAUCAAUAGAAGAGAAUGCAACAAAUAUCCCUUCUCACACACAAAAAAGUCUGCUUUAUAGGAUGUCAAAUUUUUCAACUUUCCAAAUGUUAGGGGUGCUCAAAAGUUGUGACAUGCCUUGAGGAUUGUAAAUAUAUUUUGGUUGCUUUAAUAUAAUUGAGAUGUGCUUGGUAAGUAGCUAGUAAGUAUAAUUUUUUUUACAUUUUGUUUGUUUCAUAGCUACUCAGUUGUUGCAUUGCCAUCUAAUAAGACAGGUUGCAAAAGUGUUUUCUGUUUUAAUGUGUGAUUGAGUUGCCCACUAGGAUGAGCAGAAACCGCUUCCAUCUGCUUUUCUCUUCCUUUCACAUAAAUAGCUAAAACUAAUCUGGAAGCCUUGGUUGGCUUAAGCUGUGGUUCCGGUUUCUUGCUCACAAGCAGGCAAAAAUCUAAGGUGGUAAUAAAAAAAAAGUAUAUUUCCAAAUCUGAAAAUCACUGUAACUGCUGAAUCAUAAAUCACCCUCUUUCUCUUCCCUCAUACAGUUUAGUAUGUCAUGUUAAGAAAUCUUGACAAUCCAGUAUUACUUUAGCUGCUAAUCUAUGGCAGGACAAACAUUUGUCCUGGUGAUUUUGAAGAGACUUCACUGUCAAGUGAUAUUUUUUCAGAUUUGGCUUGAGCCUUUUUAUAGGGAACUAUCUAAAAUAAAAAAAACACAAUCUGAGUUAAGCCAUCAAACACUUACAGAAGCAGGUGCUAACUUUCUACAUAAUAUUGAAAACU